UCAACUCAAAUUUGUAUGCAGUUGGAACAGCGCCCCUAGCGGCAAACGUAGGCAAACGUUCUAACCCCAUACAAAUUUAUGUUA
rnacentral:pre_miRNA from 1 species